UAUUAUUAUUCUCUCUCUCUCUCUCUCUCUCUCUCUCUUUCUCUAUUAUUGGGGAGAGGUUCCCCGUCGACUUGAAGGGAAAUUUUGGGUGAUAAAUUUGAUGCGCGAUUCGAACGUUUGUUGUCAAAGUUAUGGUACUCGGAUUGGUGGUUCUGUCUGUCUGAUAAGGUAGUAGGUUUACCGGUUCUGUCUAUGUGGUAUUGGAAUGGGUGGUUCUAUCCAUGUGGUACUAUAAUUGGUGGUUCUGUCUGUCUAUGAGGUAGUAGGAUUACCGGUUCUGUCUUUGUGGUACUAGAAUUGGUGGUUCUAUCACUAAGGUACUGGAAUUGGUGGUUCUAUCACUAAUGUACUGGAAUCGGUUCUAUCUUUAAGGUAUGGUGGUUCUAUCACUAAGGUACUCAGAUAAUUGGUUCUAUUUAUACGGUACUCAGAUUACCGGUUCUAUCUAUAAGGUACUCAAACUGGUGGUUCUAUCUGUAAGUUAUUCGCAUUGGUGGUUCUAACUAUAAGGUACUCAGAUUGAUGGUUCUAUCCUAGUAUAUUAGUUUUGCUACUUUUAUAAAGUUUAGCACCAAAUAAUUUAUUUGAUGACUCUAGUGUAGCUGGAAAAGCAUAUUUUUUCAUACAAACACUAGAUCUAAAUUAGCUAUCAUAUCAUAAAGUUUAUAUUUUCAAAACAUCCACGACAUUUGGCGGGUAUAUUUAUACUGUGGAAAUCAUUUGUACUUGUUGAAAGCACAGAUUUUGCAUAGAGACAUUUAAAUAGUAUAUACACACAUGCAGUGCAACAAAGAUUACGUACCCAUAGUUAGCAUCUGAAAGAAAUAUUUUUCUGUAAGAAAUCACAUGGGAUAUACUAAAGGCUAUGGAGCUAUUCCCUGCGGAAAUAGAAAUAAAAGCAAGGUGCGUGAAUUAAUUUUGUUAUAAUUCAUAUUUUUUUACUCAACUUUUUUUUUUCUACAUCUCACUCAAACUGGUUAUAGUUGAAUCAGCUGACAUAUUCUUGUAGAUCUUUCUAUGAUAUACAAAACACACUUAAGUUCAUACCAGCUAAGUAUUAAAGAUUCUAGUAUUUAUUAAUACACCUUGGAGAUUGUAAGAACUUAAUCCUCUUGAUAAUAUGUUCUAUAACAUUUUCAACUUGUUAAUAAAUAAAUAUUUGUUUUGGCAGUAUGUUUGUACUUAUAACAAUUUCAACACGUUUUUAUUUCUGCUGUUAAUUAUUUCAACGAGAUGACAAUGCUGGGAAAAAGUGUGACGGUUUUUGUUAUGUAUCUUCGAGUCAUAGUUAUAUAAUCAUUUUCAUGUGUAUAUAAGUUGACAUGGAUAAUUUACCGUUGUGGAUUUUCGGAUUUCUCUUCUGGAUUAAGAUAGUUGAGUAUUAAGAAUCUUAAUCUUCAUUUUGCACACUGCAUGAAGUCUGCCGAUGUGCUUAUUUGGUAUUUAUUGAAGAGAAAAGAUCCAUUAAUUGUUUCUGUUUCCAACAUACCAGAGGAUACAUCAGACAGAAAUAUAAAAA
rnacentral:lncRNA from 1 species